GGACAAUGGGCGGAAGCCUGAUCCAGCAACGCCGCGUGAGGGAUGACGGCCUUCGGGUUGUAAACCUCUUUCAGCACCGACGAAGCGCAAGUGACGGUAGGUGCAGAAGAAGGACCGGCCAACUACGUGCCAGCAGCCGCGGUAAUACGUAGGGUCCGAGCGUUGUCCGGAAUUAUUGGGCGUAAAGGGCUCGUAGGCGGUUUGUCGCGUCGGGAGUGAAAACACCGGGCUUAACUCGGUGCUUGCUUUCGAUACGGGCAGACUGGAGGUAUGCAGGGGAGAACGGAAUUCCUGGUGUAGCGGUGAAAUGCGCAGAUAUCAGGAGGAACACCGGUGGCGAAGGCGGUUCUCUGGGCAUUACCUGACGCUGAGGAGCGAAAGUGUGGGGAGCGAACAGGAUUAGAUACCCUGGUAGUCCACACCGUAAACGUUGGGCGCUAGGUGUGGGAUCCAUUCCACGGGUUCCGUGCCGUAGCUAACGCAUUAAGCGCCCCGCCUGGGGAGUACGGCCGCAAGGCUA
rnacentral:rRNA from 1 species